GGUGACGUAGCCAAGUGGUAAGGCCGAGGUCUGCAAAACCUCCAUACGUCGGUUCGAAUCCGACCGUCACCUCCA
rnacentral:tRNA from 1 species